GUUUUUAGCUAUAUUCUAACACCUUUCUGUUGUGCUUUUUUAUGUUUGUUUGUUUGUUUCUUUGUUUCCUAGUGGGUUUUCCUAGCUGGAGCGUUUAUAUUUGGACUGGAGUAAGUGUGUUUGCAGUGUUGGUGAUUGUCAUUGUCCUCAUUGUGCUUUGGAAGAGACAAAGGUCAGGAUAUGUUCUUAGUGGUCAAGGUUCUGCUGAAAAGAUUGUUUGAUUGUGGAGAAGUUACAUCUUUGCACCUGGGCGUUCUUCAGUCAUUCACUAUGCUCUUAUCUUUUAUAUAACAAGGUCAUAACCAUGUCGUGAACAUUAGAGAAGUGGCUAGGCUAAUUUUUAGUUUAAGGAAUUUGUAAGGAAUUACAUAAUUAAAGGGUUUAAAGGGAUUUAAGGGAAUAAAGAAAAAUGAAGAUCAGUAUAAUAAGUAGAAUUUAUUCACGCUACACUUAGCAUUUUUUGAUUUUGUGUUUGUCUUGUUGACUAAACUGAUCAUGACUUAACUAACCGAAAUGAAGCUAUAUGAUGAAAUAAUGAUAUUAUGUAAUUAUAUAUUAUAGAACUAUAUAUUUAUAUUUAUUUAUACUAUAUAUUUUGUCUGUUAUGCAAACGGGCACAUUUAGUAAGUAAAACUAUAAAUAAAUAACUAAAUUAUAAUGUAACUUCAUAUAUGUAACUUAUAGUAUAACUAUUGAUAUUAUCUAUCACUGGUCCAGUCAGUCUGUGGGAAAGAACUUGGUGGAUUGCAUGGCAUUAUAGUGAGCAUAAAAUGUGUGUGAACAUAAAGUAACUGUACGUCCAGGGCAAGUAUUUCCUGUAAACUGCUGCUGUGGAAGCAAAAUGAAUGAAAUGCUGUGCCAGUGAGUACACACAUCUAAUACAUUACUAAUGAAAUCCACUCAGCACCUGCCACUGCUUCAGAUCCGGCCUCAAAUAUUAACGCUUGUUAAAAAAAAACACACAAUAAACUAAUGUAGUAAAUCUCCAAUAAUGAUCUACAUGUAUUAAUUUACUUUACAGGUGGG
rnacentral:lncRNA from 1 species